UACGGGGGGGGCAAGCGUUGUUCGGAAUUACUGGGCGUAAAGGGCUCGUAGGCGGCCAACUAAGUCAGACGUGAAAUCCCCAGGCUUAACCUGGGAACUGCGUCUGAUACUGGAUGGCUUGAAUUCGGGAGAGGGAUGCAGAAUUCCAGGUGUAGCGGUGAAAUGCGCAGAUAUCAGGAGGAACACCAAUGGCGAAGGCAGCUCGCUGGGACGGUACUGACGCUGAGACGCGAAAGCGUGGGGAGCAAACAGG
rnacentral:rRNA from 1 species